UGCACGGUGGUGCAGUUGGUAGCACUGUGGCACCAAGAAGGUCCUGGGUUCGAUUCCCGGCCGGGGGUCU